CACUUACAGUGAAUAAUAUUGAGCGUUGUUGAUGAACUUCUGAAACAGCACGCAGAGGAAGAGGAAGAGGGUUCUUGAGGAAUGAGUCAGUCAACACACCAGCGGCUCUAUGAUUUUGCUAAAACGGCUCUCAUAAACGUAUUCGCUCACCCUUACGCCACGGUGUGCGAUUUGUAUUGUGCUGAUUCCGGCUCUGAUAACUGGGUCGACGCGCAAAUUGGCCACUACAUUGGAAUUGACGCGUCUUCGUCUGGGAUAGAGCAAAUGCGAGAAGCUUGGGAGAGUCACAGGAAAUCUUACACUGCCCAGUUCUUCCAGGUCGACCCUUCCGUGGAGAAUAUAGAAACACAUUUGGAGGAGAAAAUCAGUGUGGCUGAUGUUGUCUGCUGUUUGCAGCAUUUGCAGUUGUGUUUUGAGACUGAAGAGAAAGCACGGAAACUACUGCAUAAUGUGUCAUCUCUGCUGAAACCCGGGGGUUAUUUUCUUGGUAUUACUCCUGACUCAUCUACCAUAUGGGCUAAAUACCAGAGGAAUGUUGAAGCCUAUCAUAACAAAAGCAGCAGCAUGAAGCCAAACAUUGUUCCCAACUGCAUCCGGACCGAGAAUUACAUGAUUACUUUUGAAGUUGAAGAAGAAAAGUUUCCGUUAUUUGGAAAGAGGUACCAGCUAAAAUUUGCUAAUGACAUCUCUGCUGAAACCAAUUGCUUGGUUCAUUUUCCAAGUUUCAUCAGGUUGGCCAGGGAAGCUGGCCUUGAGUAUGUGGAGAUUCAAAAUUUAACCGAAUUUUAUGACGACAACAGAGCACAAUUAGCUGGCCUGUUAACACACUAUGUUCCAAACCUCUUGGAUCCGAGGGGAAGACUUCUUCCACGUUCAUACGAUGCGCUAGAUUCUCAGAUACUGUAUUUUCCAUUCCAAUGCAGGUCUCUAUACCACUUUUAUAUUUCAAAAGCCUGACCCAGAAAUUGCACCCCCAGUUGCGACUCCAUUAUUGCAAGAUGCAAGUUAUAAUCACGAUGAGGGAACCAAUUGUCGAGAUGAUGAAAUAAUAAAUGGUCAUGUAGAACCCGCUAUUGGGCUGGGCAAGAUAAGCGAACAGAAAGGGAUAUUGGGCCCAGGUCCAGCAGAUUUACGUUUUCCAGAAGCACUUUGAAUGUUCUCCGGAAGCUAAAGUUUUAGGUAAUUUUGUUUUUUCUGAUGAAACCAAUAUUUUAUUGGCAAAAAGAAGAACGCAUUUAGGUGUUUUCUUCCUUUUUAAAAUGACAAAGGUUAGGGUAGGUGUUUUUUUAACUUCUUUUGGCAUGUAGUUAGUGUGAACGGAUUAGUUCACUUUGCCAUGUAUUUUCACUCUCCACUUAGCUUUUCUUCAAGUCUUCUGCCAAAAGUUUUCUCCAAAACAGUAGAAUUAAAAAUUGUAAUGAUGAACAUUUUUUAAUCAAUUGCACUUUCUUCGAAAUUGGGAUAA